UGAACAAAGGGGAGAGUCUGGUACAUAUUUAGCCCAGUUAAACGAUUGAAAAUCAGACUGAUAAUAGGAGGAGGGGAGACGCGGAAAGGCAGUGUUCUUCCGGCGAGGUUUGGGAGAAAAAGUGAAUGGCUUGGAGAAAGUAAACUAAAGUAAAGUAAAAACUUACUGGGUUUUCGCACCGCCAUUUUCCUCCCAGUCUCCACCCGUUUUAAAGAGACAUACUCCAAUAUUUAAGUAGGAGAAGGCUGGACUAUUAAUGCAGCGGAAAAAGAUCGAGAACUCUUUGGCAAGAAAAGAAAUUCAAUAAGACAAUUUGCCAGGACCCUCUGCCAUUUACGGAAUCCUUUUCAUCGUGGAGUGUCUCUCCAUUUGGCCCCGCCUUGCUCUCCUGGGUCCGCUCCCGGAUCGAGACUCACCUCACAAUUCUUCCAGAGUUCCAGAGAGCCACUACGUGAUUAUGUGACUUCACCUACCCGCCCGUGUAUCUUUGGCGGUUACUUUUUCCUCAACUCCCCACCCACCCUUUAUUUCCCUUUAACCCUCUCUAUUGUACUUCCCUAGGGUAUCUUUUGAGACGUUGGCUUUCCCUAUUUGUAACUGCUUUGUUUUCUUUUUUUGUUUUUGUUUUUUGUUCUUUUCUCUUUGGUUCUCCUUUUUAUUGGUUUUCCUUCUUCGGCUUUUUUAGCUGCUUUCUUUUUAUUCCUUUUUGUUGUUUUUGCUUUGGUUGGUAUUUAGCGUAUCUUUGUAUAUUUGGUUCCCCCUAAUUGUGUGAUUGCUAAUACUGCACGAGAUUAGCUGCUUGGCUUUGUGCAGAAGGAGACAUUCGGUUGAUGAACUCUACUGAAGAGAAGAGAACUAAGACUUGGAAGGUCAACAAGGCAUCAAAGGAAACUGCAUUGGAAGAAAUUAAUGAGAGGAACAGGCCAGCAGCUCUCUUCAGUGACUUACGGGGGGGAAAGUCUUUAAUAAUUAGUUAAUUUAAGUUGACAUACAAAAUGAAGAAGGCGGUGGGAACGCCAGCAGAAAGGAGGCCAUCUAGACAAGAAGAUGGGAAGGAGGGAAAAGAGAUCAAGGACUACGAUAGUUUGAUGGCUGAAAUAAGGAAAGAAUUUAAACAUAAUGAGCAAUAUAUAGAGAAAAAGCUAUUGGAAGUGCAGGAUACAUUAGAUAAGAGAGUGCAGGAUACAUUAGAUAAGAUUAGAGGGGGUGGUGGGAGUACUGACAGGAAAAGUCAAACACCUAUCGGUAAGAGCCAAAGUACUUGAGGAUUCUAUGAAAAGGGUGCAAAAGGAUACAAAAGACAGAAGGAUUUGGACAGAAUUAAAAUAGAAGUUAAGGAGAUAGGUAAGGUACAGGAAGAAUUGCUGGACAGUAUGGCUAUGACUCAGAUGAGACAGAACCAACUAAAUUUAAAAUUUAGAGGGAUCCCAGAGGACCCAAAUGAGAAUAUAAGAUCUAAAAUGGUGAAAGAGUUGGCAAUUUGGUUAGAUAGGAAGGAGGAAGAGAUAAGCUUCUCCCUAGCAAAUAUAUUUCGGAUAAAAACAAAAUCGGCUAAAGCUAGGGGAAAAAAAUUGCCAGGAGAUGUAAUAGCCAUGUUUAACUCGUUGGAUAUGAGGAACGAAGUACUGAAACAGAAUUAUAGUAAAAGGUUAUAUAUUGAAGGAAACCCAAUUAUUGUAUUUAAAGAGAUCCCUUCGAGAUUUCUUCGAAGGAGGGAUGUGUAUAAAAAAUUAACUAACCAACUGAAGAAAAAUGGGAUCCUAUAUAGAUGGGAGUUUCCGGAAGGAAUUUCAUUCUACUUUAAGGAUAAAAGAUUCAAACUGUCCAGCUCUUCAGAACUUG